rnacentral:rRNA from 1 species
GAUGAACGCUGGCGGCGUGCCUAAUACAUGCAAGUCGAGCGAACAGACGAGGAGCUUGCUCCUCUGACGUUAGCGACGGACGGGCGAGUAACAAGUGGAUAACCUACCUAUAUGUCUGGGAUAAAUUCGGGAAACCGGAGCUAAUACCGGACAAUAUAUUGAACCGCAUGGUUCACUAGUGAAAGAAGGUUUUGCUGUCACUUAUAGUUGGAUCGGCGCCGCAUUGGCUAGUUGGUAAGGUAACGGCUUACCAAGGCGACGAUGCGUAGCCGACCUGAGGGGGUGAGCGGCCACACUGGAACUGAGACGAGGUCCAGACUCCUACGGGAGGCGACAGUGGAGAAUCGUCCACAAGGGGCGGAGGCGUGACGUAACAACGCCGCGUGGGUGAUGAGAGUCUUCGGAUCGUAAAACUCUGUUAUUAGGGAAGAACGAUAGUGUAAGUAACUAUGCACUUCUUGACGGUACCUAAUCAAAAAGCCACGGCUAACUACGUG